CGUGCCACUGCACUCUAGCCUGGCGACCAAGCAAGACUCCGUCUCAAAAAAGAAAAAAAAAAAAAGAUCUAUUGAAAUGUGGUGAAGAGUAAUUUUGUUUUAGUAAACUAGUACAUAAAAUUAAUUUUUGUUUGCUCAUUUACUUAACAGGACAUCUGGAGGACCUGUUGAUACUGGUCCAGAGUAUCAGCAAGAGCUGGAGAAGGAGCUUUUUAAGCUCAAGCAAAUGUUUGGUAAAGCAGACAUGAAUACAUUUCCCACCUUCAAAUUUGAAGAUCCCAAAUUUGAAGUCAUCGAAAAACCUCAGGCCUGAAGAAAUAAAGUAAAAUUAAUCUGGUAAUUUGUCAUGGGUUAGCUGUACAACUAGUUAGAUGUUUCAGAAUAAACAUGCAUUUCAUAACUGUCAAAUGUUCUUUUAAUUCUGAGUCCAAAUAAAUUAUUUGGUGAUGUUGA